AUUGAACGCUGGCGGCAUGCCUUACACAUGCAAGUCGAACGGCAGCACGGGAGCAAUCCUGGUGGCGAGUGGCGAACGGGUGAGUAAUACAUCGGAACGUGCCCAGUUGUGGGGGAUAGCCCGGCGAAAGCCGGAUUAAUACCGCAUACGACCUACGGGUGAAAGCGGGGGAUCGCAAGACCUCGCGCAAUUGGAGCGGCCGAUGGCAGAUUAGCUUGUUGGUGGGGUAAAAGCCCACCAAGGCGACGAUCUGUAGCUGGUCUGAGAGGACGACCAGCCACACUGGGACUGAGACACGGCCCAGACUCCUACGGGAGGCAGCAGUGGGGAAUUUUGGACAAUGGGCGCAAGCCUGAUCCAGCCAUGCCGCGUGUGGGAAGAAGGCCUUCGGGUUGUAAACCACUUUUGUCAGGGAAGAAACGGUCUGAUCUAAUAAAUCGGACUAAUGACGGUACCUGAAGAAUAAGCACCGGCUAACUACGUGCCAGCCGCCGCGGUAAGAC
rnacentral:rRNA from 1 species